AUUCACAAACUGUAAUGCUAGUAUCUCACAGAGUGGCGAAUGCUGACAAGCGCUGCGAUUUUUGGAUUUGCCACCUUUGUUGCUAAAAAUCAACCCGGUA